UGUGGUUAGACAGUAAACAGGAUGUAAACAGACAAAAAUGGGCUGUAAACAGGUGGUAAUCAGGCUGUAAACAGUCAGUAAACAGUAAGUCAGUGUUGAGGACUGACCGUCUCUGUCUUUCAGAUCAUCGAGAAGAGGAAAAAGAUGGAGGCUGAUGGGGUUGACGUGAAGAGGCCGAAAUACUGAAGACUUCCUGUGUGUCGGGAUCAAUAUUUAUCAGUGAUUAUCUGUUAUUGACACAAGCUAGUGAUGUAUUGAUCUGCAAAGUUAUUAUUAGUUUUUACUGGAAA